AGUGAACGCUGGCGGUAGGCCUAACACAUGCGAGUCGAACGGCAGCACAGUAAGAGUUUGCUCUUACGGGUGGCGAGUGGCGGACGGGUGAGGAAUACAUCGGAAUCUACUUUUUCGUGGGGGAUAACGUAGGGAAACUUACGCUAAUACCGCAUACGACCUACGGGUGAAAGCAGGGGAUCUUCGGACCUUGCGCGAUUGAAUGAGCCGAUGUCGGAUUAGCUGGUUGGCGGGGUAAAGGCCCACCAAGGCGACGAUCCGUAGCUGGUCUGAGAGGAUGAUCAGCCACACUGGAACUGAGACACGGUCCAGACUCCUACGGGAGGCAGCAGUGGGGAAUAUUGGACAAUGGGCGCAAGCCUGAUCCAGCCAUACCGCGUGGGUGAAGAAGGCCUUCGGGUUGUAAAGCCCUUUUGUUGGGAAAGAAAAGCAGCAGGUUAAUACCCCGCUGUUCUGACGGUACCCAAAGAAUAAGCACCGGCUAACUUCGUG
rnacentral:rRNA from 1 species